UGAACAACCCACAUACAUAUCAUUUUAGAUUGGAUUUCCACCAUGACAUCUUAAUCAAGUAUGAGAAAUAUAAAAAGAUUGACUCUUCAAAUACAAAGGGCAUAAAAAUAGUGACAAGCCUCUUAAAUACUUUUAAGUUGUUGGGUUAGGGUUAAUAUUCUACACAGAGAGGGUUUGUGAAAAUUGAAAAUUUGUUUCAUUUCUUUUUUUAAUGAUUAUGUUUUCUUCAUCAAGAUCUUGCCUCAAGUGUCAUUACAUUUAUUGAGUAGGGAUGAUUAUACUCCCUCUACUGGCCAUCUAUGGAGAAUAAGUUUCAUAUCACCUUCAGAGUCAGACUGCAGAUCUAUCCUAACAAUUAGUUAAACAAACUAUGGAUAAAUACACACAAAAAAACACUAUCAUAAUUUUAAAAUUGAUUGUUAAUGUCUGCUCAGAGGUGAAUAGAGCUACAGUGAUGAAUCAAUUAGUUGCUAACUAGUAAAUUAAUCAUACGCUAUUUUGAUAAUUUAAUUGGAUUGAGUGAUUUUAAAAAAAAAUGUCAAAGCAGUUGACAAGAUUAAUCAAGAAACUUGCAAUAAUUUUAUUCUGAAGUGGGAGCAUGAGCAGGCUUUCUUCUACAACAGUAAACUGAGUAAGUGUUCUGGAGUCGUCAUUGGAUAAAACAAGCAAUAUGAGGUAUAUUUUCUAAAGCUGCUGUUAGAAAUAUGCUUUGGCUGCCUGUGAUGGAUCCAUCAACAUCUUUGUUGCUCCGCAUGCUGCUGAGUUCUUGGCAAAAGGGAGAGGUGGAGUUUAAGCCUUUUAUGCUUUCAGGCAGGAAUUGGAAGGUGCCAACUCCCAGUGCUGUGAAGGGGAGCUCUGAAUUGCAGAGGCUUCAAGACAAACAGCAUGAGUACAUUUGAGGUUUGGGGUGAUAUUGUUAUCUAUUUAGCAUGUAUAGGUAUUAUUUGUAUUAUGUCUUUAAGUGGCAGUUGGGUUUAUUUUGAGGUUUUAAUGGUGUGGGAAUAGGUCUCUCCCCUUUUUGUCUGUUUGUAGGCUAGUCUAUGUGUAUAUAUACCUCUUCUUUUGUGUCAUUCAGUAGGUCAAGUCUGUUCAGUUCACACUUAUGUUGAUAUCGUUUUAGUGAUCUCAGUUUAUUUAAAGGACCCAGAAUUAGAAUUUCUGUUAAUACUUUUUCUUUGCUGAUGUAUUUUAAUAUUUUGAAAUCCUGGUUUUUCUAUGGACAGUU